ACUAACAACGGAAGAAAAACU
rnacentral:misc_RNA from 1 species